rnacentral:lncRNA from 1 species
AGGUAGCUGUAAUACUUUUAAAUAUAUUUGAAAAUUCGCUUUUUUUUUCACAAUGGGUUUGCCGCCAGAACACAGGUGUCAUGAAAACUACCCCCAAAAGCCAAAAUGGGAAAGGAAAAGACUCAUACCAACAUUGUCGUCAUUGGACACAUAGAUUCGGGCAAGUCCACCACUACUGGCCAUCUGAUCUACAAAGGCGGUGGCAUCGACAAAAGAACCAUUGAAAAAUUUGAGAAGGAGGCUGCUGAGAUGGGAAAGGGCUCCUUCAAGUAUGCCUGGGUCUUGGAAUGGUGACAACAUGCUGGAGCCAAGUGCUAACAUGCCUUGGAACCAUGCUGCUUGAGGCUCUGGACUGCAUCCUACCACCAACUCGUCCAACUGACAAGCCCUUUGCUCCAGUCAACGUUACAACAGAAGUAAAAUCUGUCGAAAUGCACCAUGAAGCUUUGAGUGAAGCUCUUCCUGGGGACAAUGUGGGCUUCAAUGUCAAGAAUGUGUCUGUCAAGGAUGUUCGUCAUGGCAACGUUGCUGGUGACAGCAAAAAUGACCCACCAAUGGAAGCAGCUGGUUUCACUGCUCAGGUGAUUAUCCUGAACCAUCCAGGCCAAAUAAGCGCCGGCUACGCC